AUUUAUUUUGUUUUUUGAGGUGGGGAAUCUUGCUUAUGUUGCCCAGGCUGGCCUGGAACUCCUGAGCGCAAGUGAUCCUUCUGCCUCAAUCUCCCAAGAAGUUGGGAAUACAGGUGUGUGCCGUGAUGCCCAGCUGGAAUUUGUUUUUGGGUAUAAGGGAGGUAGAGAUCCAAUUUUUUUUUUCCCAUAUGACUGUCUGUCACGUGGUUUUUCUCUGCUCCCAUGCAGUGCCAAUUUUGUCAAAUGGUCUGAUUUUGGGCUCUCUGUUGGUUUCCAUUGGUCUGUUUUUGUAUCUCUGUUAACAUUACACUAUUAGAAUUACUUUUGUUUUAUAAUAAGUGAUGAUUUCUGUCUGGUAUAGCAAAUUAUCCUACUUGGUUCUUUUAAAGGAGUGUUGUGCUGGUUUUUACACUGUUGUUUGCUGGGACUAGAACUCUGCAAAUCACAUUUCUCCUUUGUCAGCUGGCUGGCCUGUAGGGACUACUAAAGGCAGAUUGUAGGGCUAGAAGAGACAUUUUCCUUUUUCUUUUUUUUUUCUUCAAGAUGGGUCUCACUUUGUUGCCCAGGCUGGAGUGCAGUGGUGCCAUCUCGGCUCACUACAGUCUCUGCCUGCCAGGUUCAAGCUAUUCUCCUGCCUCAGCCUCCUGAGUAGCUGGGAUUACAGGUGCCUGCCAUCACACCCAGCUAAUUUUUGUAUUUUUAGUAGAGAAUGGGUUUCACCAUGUUGGCUAGGCUGGUCUUGAAUUCCUGGCCUCAAGUGAUCCACCCACCUUGACCUCCCAAAGUGCUGGGAUUACAGGCGUGAGCCACCGCACCUGGCCCGGGACACUUUCCUUCUCUUUGCUUUCUGUCUCUGUCAGCAUUCUCUCAGUAACAACUCCUCAUUCUGACAGCAUCACUUGGUUCCAGUUUGCAGUUUUUUUUCUGCACUCCCAGAACCACCCUCAUUGUGCCUCUUCAGAUGUACAGUACCGGCCAGCCAGCAUUCCUUCUCAAAGAACAAGGACCAAGGGUGUGGUGGUGCUGGAA
rnacentral:lncRNA from 1 species